GUUAUCUGGGGAUGACAUCCAGCAACAUCAAAGUAGCAUCUAAAAUAUAGCAAACAAUGUAGCCGUACUUCAGAGAGAAGUAGAAGGCAGAGGGUAAACUUAACUGGUGCCAAAAAGCCAUAGUAAAACCAUUUGCUAUAACUCCCUGUGUAUCUGGAGAAAAUAGAUUAUGUUUGUUACACAACACUAACAUUAUCAACAGAGGCAAGCAAUUAUCCCCACACUGCAAAAAAGCAGAAGAAGGAGGAGGAGGAAGAGACAGAGCUACAUGCUUCUGUGAAUCAGAAUUUCAGAUUCACUGACAAAGAGGGCUCUUGGAAACCAUUGGACUGCACUGAGUUGCAAAACAAAGAAGAUGUGCCAGACCAGUUGUGAUGGUCAUUGAGGCCAGGUGGCAGCAGCUAAUAAACCUUUAGUGAGUUUACUAUAGAAUUGGCUACCAGUAUUGUCUUUGGUGUAAAAUCUGGAGUACCAAUUGAUCUGGGGAUAUGUCACCCCUCAAGAAGAGGUCUAACAAAGGGUGGAUAUUCAUCAUGAGACCCAGACCUGCUCCCAUUGUAGUCAGUGGGAGCUCUGCUAUGCCAUAUAUAAAGGGCUGAGUACUAUGACAGGCAGCAGGAUUAAUGAUACAACGCAAAGAAUGAAUUUUCACUGGUCAUUUCCCAAUUACUGUGCAAGUGAAUCAUUUUAAAAUGACACUAUUAGUUUUAAAUAAAUGGCAAGAUCCUUCUAA